UCCUAUUUUGCAGGUUUUCAUUGCAUUUUAUUUCUCACCAUUGUAAAACAACUCAGAUGAUUGUUUACAAUGAGGCGCUUUAAUGGGAUUGCACUUAACAUAACAUUUCAAUGAAUGAAUCACUGUUUUAUCCACUGUACCUUUUCUCCAAACACACAUAAGCACAGGAAUUAUUUGUAAAACAUCGUAUUUGAUGGCUCAUAAGACGCAUGGGCUCAUAAGACGCACCCAGUUUUGACAGACAUUGAAAUAAAAAAAAGUAAAUAAAUAAAUAAAUAAAUAUUAAUAAAUAAAUAAAUAAAAAUAAAUAAAUAAAUGAGCGGACUUAAGCUCUGAAUAUGAAGUGCAGUAUUUCACCUGACAUUUGAAGACUCUCACAUGCAUUUAGAUAAUUAUUAGAUCCCAAUAUUUUGCAUCUAAAAACUUUAAUAUUUGCUAGUAGCCUACUUACUAAUCCUCUUGUGAGGUGUAAACAUGUACCUGGCAUAUGGCGUCGGCAGCGACUGUGAGAGACUACGGGGUUAAUAAAGUUUGUUCAUAAGAAUGUCAAAAGAUAGGUGUAAUUUUAACUGUAUGAAAGUGCGUCUUACCUCAAGGAGUAACGGCAUCACAGUAUUAAGAACGCAGUGAAGCUUGCCGUGUCACCGGGUUAGGCGCGUAACCGACCACGUGUUUGUUUUGGUACAUGCAAUGCGUGUGCAUGGUCACUCGGGCAAAUCCUUCCUGACUGGCGUCAUUCUGUGUGAAUUACCGGGAUGUCUGGUGUUGCAUUGUUAGAAUCUGGAAGUGUGGAUCCUCACUCCUUGAUCAAGCAGCAGCAGUGGCAGCAGUCAUUGCUGCCCAGAGGAGGAAGCAUCAGGAUGCAUCUAAGAGUGCUCAUUGGCUGCCGGAGGCGAUAUGUCACUGAUUCAACGUAACACACAAGGCAGCCAAUCACAGGAAGGCUUUGUGUUAUCACCAAGAAUGCCAUAAGACAUUGUUUACAAACUGUUAUGUGCCCACAGCCACCAAUCAUAGUAUUCCAGUCAUGGCCAGCAAACCUCCUAAGAAAAUAAGACCUUGGUUCACUGACACCGAGACCUUAGCCUUGGUGGAGGAGGUGUAAAAUCAGGCUGCAGUGAUUCUGGAAAGGCUGGACAAUAGAAUCACCACAGAAAAGAACAAGACUUGGGAGGAGGUGGCUGCACGUGUGAACGCAGUCAGCCGAGUGGGUAGCUCUGAGGAAGUUUAAGGACCUACGGAGCCACGUGAAGAGCAAGGCUGCUGCAGAACAUCAUCAUGCUACAGGCACUAGUGGACUUAGCUCCAUGCAGGUGAAGGACCUCCAGAGGACACCACCUACACUGUUGUCCUACGGAUGCUGUCACUAACAGCAUUUGCAGAACUGCCAGUCCCUGACAGGGAGGGAGAGGUGGUGGGAGGGAGGGUGUCUAUGUGCUCUUGAAUCUUCUGAGUUUUCCACCAUCUGGCUACAGAGUCACUCUCUAAAUUUAUCUGUACUGUAUACCUCUCACCUAAUUCCUCUGACUAUAAGAAAUUUUUUGACUACUUAGCUUCCAAAGUGGAGCACAUUCUGUCUCUCUUCCCUUUUGCAGAGAUCUCCAUUCUUGGAGACUUCAAUGUUCACCACCAGCUUUGACUUUCCUCUCC